rnacentral:rRNA from 1 species
UACAGAGGUCUCAAGCGUUUGUUCGGAUUCAUUGGGCGUAAAGGGCGCGUAGGCGGCGGGGUAAGUCGGGUGUGAAAUCUCAGAGCUCAACUCUGAAAUGGCACUUGAUACUGCUCUGCUAGAGGACUGGAGAGGAGAUUGGAAUUCACGGUGUAGCAGUGAAAUGCGUAGAUAUCGUGAGGAAGACCAGUGGCGGAAGGCGGGUCUCUGGACAGUUCCUGACGCUGAGGCGCGAAGGCCAGGGGAGCAAACGGG